AGUACUCUAACCACUGGUCCAUGUCAAAGCAAAGGUAAAUUCAGACUCUCAAUCAGAGCAGCUUCCUAAUGCGUCCACAUUCAAAGACGAUGAAGAAAUGUUGGCUUCUAUGACUUUUGCAUCACCUCACCUCUCCGUGACUGCAGCUCAAGAUGACCAUGGGGAGUGCUGCAUGUGUUCACCUUCAACUUCUGGUUCACCUCAUCUUCCUGACUUGGUUUCUCAAGGUUUCCAUGUUUCAUGACGGCGGUGUGUGAAGGGACCAUGGUCUGAAGAGGAGAUACAAGCUGUGAUGAGGUCUUUUAUUGAAAAUAGUGUCAUUGUCACCAAUGAGCAGUGUCUGAAGGGCCAACAAAAGGAACAACCUAACUUAGGCCCCAUUUACACUAAUACGUUUUAGUUUUAAAACGCAUAAGUUUUGCUACGGUUUUCAAGCUCUGAAAACUGAGGUUUUUGAAAAUGCUGGAGAGGCUGUUUUCAUUUUUAAAACACUGCUGCUCCGUGUUAGUGUGGAUGGGGAAAACGGAGACAUCGGAAAACAGAUUGGGGCUUUUUCCUCAAUAUUAAGUAGCCGAUAAAGUUCAUUCUUAUAUCCUCUCCUUGUAGGCUCAGAGAAAACAAACUCCCGAGGACACGUCGGGUAAAUUUCUAAAGGAAACUGUGUACUUUAUAACCUCAUUCACAUCAUCCUGGCUACGGUGUUUCAUCUUAACAAUAAAAUGAAAACAUGAUAUAAGGAACUGCCUAUUUUCAUUUUAAUAUUAACUUAACAGACACCACAAAUGUUGAGGCGUAGAAUAGCUACAUAUUUAUAUGAUCGUCAUCUUCACCGUAUACAUAUUUAAAACAAAACGAACCCGCUAACAUAACUGACUCCUUUCAUUUUCAGUGAAAAUACGAAACGUGUUGUGUGUUACUAAUGACAAACGUACAUUAUUAUUUUCAAAAAUCUUUGCUUAAAUACAGAUGAGUUAAGUGUAGUAGUCAAAAAUAAUGAAAUCAACUACUGAGGUAAAUAUACUUGGUGGGACCACAGCAAGUUGCCAUCCUAUUCACAGUCUCCACAAAACAACAAAAGAGCAAGCAGUGUACUGUAUAACAUCAGUUCUGGCAGGUAACGUUAGUCAAGCUUGCAUCAGCUGACUGUUACCUCAUCACGUCUACCUAUAGGAAUAUGACCUUUAUCACAGCAUACAUAUAUUUAGCGCCUCAGUAUUAUCAUCUGCUAUCGCGUUCUCCAGAACUCAUUUACUCUCCUCCACCCCCAGCUCUUCCUCUUGUUCAGUCUGGAUUUAUUCAAAUUCCCCUUGAAUCAGUCUUAAGUCUAAAUUCAUGAAUUAUUUUGUACAUUUAUUACCAACAUGAUAUCUGCAAUACAUUGUUUGUUCUGUUCUGCUUACUUUUAGGGGGGUUAUUACUGGUCUCCCUGCUCUGUAUGCAUGGAGUUCUUACCCAGAACCAUACCACCAAUCCAAACUACAGGUGCUGGUCAUAAUUAGAAUAUCAUCAAAAAACUGAUUUAUUUCACUAAUUCCAUUCAGAAGUGAAGCUUGUAAAUGUAUGCAUUCAUUACACACACUAAGUAUUGGGUGCUGUGCAUGCUCAUACAUUUCAUCUUCAGACUUUUCCGUUGGCCAAGAUUUCUAAAACUCCUUUCUUUGUAUUGGUCUUAAGUAUUACUCAUUUUCUGAAUUUGGGGUUUUCAUUAGUUGUCAUCAAAAUGAAAAGAAUUAAA